UGGGGAAUCUUCCGCAAUGGGCGAAAGCCUGACGGAGCAAUGCCGCGUGGAGGUAGAAGGCCCACGGGUCGUAAACUCCUUUUCUCGGAGAAGAAGCAGUGACGGUAUCCGAAGAAUAAGCAUCGGCUAACUCUGUGCCAGCAGCCGCGGUAAGACAGGGGAUGCAAGCGUUAUCCGGAAUGAUUGGGCGUAAAGCGUCUGUAGGUGGCUCCUUAAGUCCGCUGUCAAAUCCCAGGGCUCAACCCUGGACAGGCGGUGGAAGCUACUAAGCUGGAGUACGGUAGGGGCAGGGGGAAUUUCCGGUGGAGCGGUGAAAUGCGUAGAGAUCGGAAAGAACACCAAAGGCGAAGGCACCCUGCUGGGCCGACACUGACACUGAGAGACGAAAGCUAGGGGAGCGAAUGGG
rnacentral:rRNA from 1 species